UGGGUAACUCCGCAGUCCAACGCCUCAGGAACGCUCACUGGGCGUCAAAAGCGUGUUCGUUUUGUCUCACGGGCGGCACGACAAAUCUACAAAGCCCUGCCAAGAACCCUAAGAUCUCCUCGUCAGGGUAGGUUUCAAGGAUUUGGAGCCGCCUCAAUAUCUAACUUAGGGUUUGGUAUCCCGGACGGUUUUUCUUUUUCCCUCAAAAAUGGGAUUUUAUGGAAGGAAAGCAUGAUGAUGGUGGUUCUAUUUCAGACACUGGGGCUUGGUCACAGGCUACCUUCUGCAUAGCCGGAUAUCCAACGGUACUUGUGAUGCUGCUACACGAUUGAAAGGUGUGCUGGCUUCUUCGUAGCCCCUUUCAAAUUAAAAUUAUUCGCAUUAGAUUGAUCAAAGCCAUUAGUGAUAUCUUUGAAAGCCAGAUGCAUGUGCAACAAGAGCAGAUAUCUAAAGGUGUUUUCCUGGAUAUAUUUGGAUGGCAAGUAGAUGAAGAAAACUGAAGGGGCAGCACAUAUUCCCUCUCGAUAUGACUCUUGAUCUGUGUAUUGUUCUGCGGUUCUUGGGAGCUGUUUUCAAAAUCCUCAAAUCACCCUUCUAUAACUUGAGCCGCCGACACUUCAUCCAAAUUAUCCAAAUACUCGAGGAGUUAUGCCCAAAGUUCGAACCCGAACCUCUGGCUGGUUGCCUGGUAGAGGAGUUUGUCCAUUGGAACAAGCUCCUAAUUUUUUUUUUUUUUUUUUUUUUAAAUUGAGGAUUUUGCAAGAAAAAUAUGGUCAUUCUUCAAUUUGUGGAUUCAAUAUUGUUUGCCCUUGAUUCUUCCAUACUAGCUCACUAACCUGCAAUGUUAAUCUAGGUUGCACAAGUUUUGAAUUGAAUUUGUGCAACAUUUUAAAUAGCUGAUUUUACAAUAUAGUUACAUGGAUGUUGUGCAAGGCAUUCUUCUUGCUACU